UGUCGCAAAUUCUCGGGAGAUUCUCUUUUGCUGACACCUAAUAUUUAUCGUUAUUCCCUAUUUUCUAAUAUAAUUGAAUUAUAGUAAAUAUAUUUCUAUAUGUAUUUGCAAAUUACAUACAAAAAAUUAAUUAUACAAUUCAAAUUUUAAAAUAUGCACAAAUGCAACACUGUAACGUCGCAGCGAAUUGUUACGAUUAAGAACACAAAGCAGAGAUAAAGACAACUCUCAUAUUACUGGAAGGGAGAGCGCAAUAUUAAACGAAAUUUUAAGGUAUUUGAAGAAAUGUUUUGUGAUCUGCAGCUUCGUCGCCCCUGUCCUAUAAACCAAGAAUUUUCGAAACAGGAAUUGACGCGUCUGAAGGCGCCUUAUAAAAAAUGAUUGCAGUUGCUAUGAUAUUAUUCAAUCACAGUGCAAAAAUCACCGAUAGUGAAAUAUCUCUCAUCUUCAACCGGAUGCAUAUCUACAAGUUUUUGGGGAAAUGUUCAACAACAAGGUACACUCUAUAUAGCAGCCAUUGAAUGUUAUCAAAUAAUGUAGCGAUUUUAAAGGAAUAUGUAUACAAUUUUUAUGAAAGAAGAACCAAUUUCACUCAUUUUCACCACCAAGGUUAACGGGAAUAGGGGCAACUUGGCACCAGUUAGUAGGCAAACACACGCCACAUUCGGCCUUGAAAUUACUUUUAAAUUGCAAAUGAACGAGACACCAGUCGGCAAAAUCGUCAAAAAUAGGAGGUACUGCACAGGACUUUAAAAGAUCUUGAUUGUCGAUGAACGUUUUUGGUGAAGCCAGGAUUCGGUUAGCAGGUGAUUUACGCCAGACUCUUCCAAUUAUUCCUGGCUCAACAGUUUCUGACGGGCUAAUCGCAUGCCUAAAAUCAUUUAAUUUGUGGCGACACAUAAAGAAUCGCCAAUUAACAACUAACAUUUUUGCAACAAUACCAAAUUGCGAUUGUAGAAGCAGUUAGAAAUGGUAGGGUCGUAGUUGACACCUCGAUGGAUUAAUAACAUUUUCAACAGAUUUCUGUCACUUCAUUAACUCGAAAGAGAAGUUUUCCUGACAUGAAACCUCAAUGUGGAAACCAUAAAUGACUGAUUGAAUGACCUAUAUUGGUGGUAAAAAAAGAUAUCGAUGACCUUAAUACGACAAUUUAGAAUUUCGGUCUAAGAGAGUUGACACAGCUACAAACCAGGAUGACGUAGUCAAUCAUCCCAAACUAUUUAAAAUUGCCUGUGCUAUCACCACUCACUUUGCAAUUAAAAGUAGUGUGAGUUGUCAUCAUGCUGCAUAACAUAAAUCAACCUCGAGUAAUCAAUAUCGUCGCCGAAGCCAAGAUUGGACCAACUUAAUUUAAUGUAUACCUUAGCCACAAAAACGUUUGGCGGGGUCUGCUACUAACUAAUUUCAUCAAAAAUUUUCGAGUCAACAAAAGAGGAUUUAUAUACAUACAUUUUAAUGGAGUACGAAAAUGUAUGUGGAAAUGAUAAGAGACAAGGUUCUUUUUCCCCGAAAUUAAAGCUUCCUGCAUGUCUACGUUUCUUUGCCGCAUUCAACUAUCAGCAUUGCAUUGGAAAGAACUUCAAUAUAAAUGUGGUCCAAUCGACAUUCUGUGGAAUAUUGGAAGAAGUUCUUAACUGAGUCUUGACCACAGGCUAUAUUCGAGGUGGAUUUCUAUUUACAUUACUGACAGCAUACUUAAAGAAACUUGGCUGAAGAGCCCACCGCCUGUUCCAGAAAUGUGUUUUGCAUGUUUUACCAUUUUUUCAAACAAACUUGAAAUCUGUCCAAACCUAGUUAUAGGUUAAGUAAGUAGUUUAAUAGCCGAUAAUAUACAAAUUAUGAUUUUUCAUACCUUCUUCCACCCAUUUGUGUCCUUGAUUGGGGGACCUAAAGCGUUUAUUUUUUUGAAAUUUCUUCCCAAAAACUAUUCAAUUCGUCCGGUGCUCCUUUCUUUUCCUUUCACCAUGUCGGGGUGUAACUUCAUCUCAUUUACUAACACUUCAAAUUGUGUUUUGUUUGUGUGUUUUUGUCUCUUAUCUCUAAACUUUCAAUUUAAAACAUAAUUAAGUGCGUCAUCAACAAUUUUGUAUAUAAACACUUACAAAUUGUCUAUUUCUUAAAAAUUUCCGCAACGCACUCACCAAGGGAUUAAUUUCGAUGCAAAUUCUCGAUAUUGCGGUAUCAAUGAUUCCGAAAUUAGCGCCAUUUAUGUACAUGGAAAGCAUUUUAUGGAGUCGGUAAGUAAGUUCAAUUCGAUCGAAAAUGUUACUAUCGAUACGGAUUCAAUGAUUCCGACGUGAAAUUUUUCGAUCGAAUCGAACCAUUUUUCGACCGAAACGGAUUCAAUGAUUAGUCUCAUUGAACUGCUAUUGCUAUAAUUAUCAAUAACAGUCAUCCAACUAGAAUCAUUAAUCUGGUAUAGCUACUUUGAUCAAACUAGAAUCACGGAAUAGCUACUCUGUUCCAACAAGAAUUAUUGAACAGCUAUUGUUACAGUUAUCCAAUUGGAAUCACCAAACUGCUUUGGCUACUGUGAUCCAACAAGAAUCAUUGAACUGCUGUUGCUACUGUGAUCUAAUUAGAAUAAAAAUAAUAAUGGUUUGGGGUGCGGCAUGUUAUUUGAAACAAUGGAGUUACAGUUUCAAACAUCAAAAAUGACUGUAUCUUCGUACAAUUACAAAUACUCAGGACUUAGUUAUUGAGACACAAUUCUUCACGUAUAUUCGGCACAAAGUCUACUAAAAAACGAUAUUAAGUAUGUUUAUAUAGUACAUGGGACCUGGGUAAUUUCUAGACCAUUUUCAGCCGUUUUCGGUACCAAACUAACUUAAUAUCCAAAAUUAUACGUUCACAUUAUUUUACAAUGUAUAUGUAUUACUGUAUAAAUAUUGAAAACCGGGGGCUUGAGGAAAUAUAGACCCGAUUUUGCCCACAGCGGCACAAUAUUAGAAGGAACACAUAUCUGAGAGAUUUAUCGAAUUCUAUAAAAGAUUAGAAAUUUUGAGGUCUCCAUGUUCGAUAUCUUGGGCCAUGAUAAGUUAUAGUCCGAUUUGGCGUGUUACGCCAAACUAGAAAUAUAUAUUUCUGGAAAGUUCGUUGAAAUUGGUCGGGCAGUUUCUGAAAUAUGGUUUUUGACCCAUGAAUGUGCGGUGGCACGCCCGUUGUUUUUGCUUUCGGAGUUAGUUGUAAAAGAUAAAGCGCCCAGUAAGUCUUUGCGAGCGGUUUCUCGCUAUCAUUUGCUGCUAUUUCCGUCCCAUGCAGCAAGAUUUUCCAAUCUUAGUCUUUCUGCUUUUGAUGACAACCACAGCAAACGUAUAAAGGACUAUGAUUUAAGGGCAUGCAUCUGGAAUGUCCGGACCCUUAAUUGGGAAGGUGCCUCUGCCCAGCUGGUUGAUGUCCUCGUAAGAGUAAAGGCUGACAUCAUCGCAAUCCAAGAAAUGCGAUGGACGGGACAAGGACGGAAGAAGGUGGACUUUGUGACAUCUACUUCAGCGGCCAUAUAAAGGAGCGCAAAUUCGAUGUGGGAUUCGUGGUGGGAGAGAGACAUAUCGCCAAACGGUCUGAGGCUGAUCGACUUCGCCGGGGCCCGAAAUAUGGUCGUCUGUUGUACUAGAUUCCAGCAUAAGAAAAUCCAUCAAGCUACUUGGCUGUCCCCGGAUCGAAUCUCUCGCAACCAGAUCGAUCAUGUUGUGAUAGAUGGACGACAUGUCUCCAGUGCUUUUGAUGUGCGUUCGCUUCGUGAUCCCAACAUCUACUCGGACCACUAUCUUG